rnacentral:rRNA from 1 species
UACGGAGGGUGCAAGCGUUAUCCGGAUUUACUGGGCUUAAAGGGUGUGUAGGCGGACUUUUAAGUCAGGGGUGAAAUCCCGAGGCUCAACCUCGGAACUGCCUUUGAUACUAUUGGUCUUGAAUGUUGUUGAGGUGGGCGGAACGGGUCAUGUAGCGGUGAAAUGCAUAGAUAUGACCCGGAACACCGAUUGCGAAGGCAGCCCGCUAAGCAACUAUUGACGCUGAGGCACGAAAGCGUGGGGAGCAAACAGG